UUUUUGCUAGUUCAUUACAAGGAGGUAUGCAAUGCAUAUACCAGCAUACCAGGUCAAGUAUCACAUGCAGCACCAUGGUUUAUCCUUCAAAGAAUACUCCUGCUUAACACCGUAUUUCCACAAAACACUUUAACACCACCACAGUGAGAUAACCAGGCAGUGCCUUAGCCUUAGUCUCCCUGCUUCUGAGUUUCAGUGUGCAAUCUGCUCCAGCCCAGCUCCACAACAAGCCAAAUCAGCCACAUACUACAGCCCCCACCUCCUUAUAUGCAUUUCCACAGGCAAAAAGCCAACAAGCAUGAUGCAAUGCACACUGGGCAACAGAAACAUAAGGCCCUCAGUGUCUUCAGUGGCAUUCCUGGGCCACAUAUUUUAAGUAACUGUCAAGUACUGAUGUAACAUGUAUUUCAGUUCUUUCCCGAAUUAGUAAUACAUCUACAGCAGCACCUUGUAGCGAACACAUUUUCAGCAUGACUGAAACCUGACAGAAAAUGGCCAGAAAAACUGAAAUCCUUUUUCCCCUUUGUUGUGGAGUGCAGUACACAGUAUAUGUAACUAUGCAAGACUCACCAGAACCCUAAAAGCAAAGGCAUGCUAUGUGGCAUUUGGCAAAUUAUCAUCAUUUCCUCCAUGUAUAAAACCCAAACAGUUCCAAAACCUCAAUCACACACACAGAAGAAAUUGUUGGUUGUCUCACAAGAUUACAGGAAUUAGUUCAACUGUUUGACAGAGCAACACAUGUAGUAUUCAUUUUCCAUUUUGUAGGCAUGGGAAAUCACUGUUCCUUAAGCAUCUAAUGACAUUCCAAGAAAUGCUUGAGAUAAAAAUUCAUUAUUUUUUUUAAACUGCAUGUGCUUCCUACAAGAAAUAAAUCAGAAUAAAGACAUUGCCAAAUUGAAACAGUAAGAGCGGUGAUAAUUUAUGCUAGUGCACAGGGAUAAAGCAUUUACAAGAGAGCUCCUUCUCAUUCCAGGUGUGUCAUGAGAAAGAAAAACCCAGCAUGUCUCCGUUAUGUCAGAAGUACCUGAGAAUCAAAGCUAAAUCUCUUAUGCAUUUACCAAGCACCCAUUAGAGAGCUACGCAAUUUACAUUUCAAAUUAGACAUUAUAUUUAUAAAAUAUUCUUGUACUAAAAGUCACAAGAUUUUAUAGAAAAAACCUCAUCACAUUCUAUUAAAUGCAGGAACAAUGUUACGUGUCAUAGCUUCUGUAAUUAAAACUGUAACACAUUUCUUGUAACUACAGGGGCACUACUGUUUAAAAAUCCUUUCUGGAAAGACAGUUUACUUUGUUUCUUACUUUUUAAAGAUCUGUAAUUUAAUUCAAAAGGACUGCCCAAGCUAUCUAGUGCCAUGAUUCCAUGAUUAAAAUAUUUGAUAUUAAAAAAAAAAAAAAAAAAAAA
rnacentral:lncRNA from 1 species